rnacentral:lncRNA from 1 species
GGGAGGGGAAAUGAGAAUCCACACAUUGAACCAGCUCCCCACCCUGGAUGAGGGGGUUAAUUGGAUUUUUCACUCUUUCAAGGUGGAAUUCCAUGAUUUGAUAAUUACAUGGGACUGUAUCUCUCCCCUGGACUUUGGCCAUCUUUCCCACCGUUCAGAGAAAAUACGACUUGUUUCUAGACCUGAUAUUCAUCCAGCAUGCACCAGGAUGGAUGGAAGAUAAAAUACUGAAAUGUUUCCACACUGGUUGGUAAAUUACCGUCACCUGCGGAUACCUCCCCUGUAGUCCCAACAGGCUGGCUCGUCCUCCGGGAGAUCCCCCAGUGACCUCCCUAAGAUGUGUCACCUAAAGGGUUAAUGCCUGGCCCGGCAGGGGGCCCCCAGACUCUUCACCCAGCAUUAAGCUAGCAUCCAUUCUAGGUGGAAACUCCACUGGAAGCCCAAACCUCAGACGUGAGCCCCAGGAGAUACCAGCCUGUACAGCAAGCCCCAGUCCUCAGUAGCAUCUUUUAGAAAAAGUUCUGGUGCUUUGGCCAUCAUCCCGAUUACGUUUGCCCAUGACAUGAUCCGGCUGUCAUGGAAUAAAGAAACAUGAGGGUUUCAAUGCAAGGAAUGUUUAGAAAUAGAGAACGAAAAGAAUGUGCUUGAUCUCAUGUUUUCACUUUAAUGUAUUCAGAGCUGGCAGAGAAAGGGGGACAUUUAACUUCUAAUUAAUGAGUUGCUCCAUGUGUCCAAACAACUCUCCCAUCUCUUCCCUCACUGCAGAUGAAAGCCCAAGUUCUCUUGGAGCUGGGUGAUU